UUUUGUAUAAUGGGUCAGCGACUUAUAUUCUGUAGCAAGGUUAACCGAAUAGGGGAGCCGAAGGGAAACCGAGUCUUAACUGGGCGUUAAGUUGCAGGGUAUAGACCCGAAACCCGGUGAUCUAGCCAUGGGCAGGUUGAAGGUUGGGUAACACUAACUGGAGGACCGAACCGACUAAUGUUGAAAAAUUAGCGGAUGACUUGUGGCUGGGGGUGAAAGGCCAAUCAAACCGGGAGAUAGCUGGUUCUCCCCGAAAGCUAUUUAGGUAGCGCCUCGUGAAUUCAUCUCCGGGGGUAGAGCACUGUUUCGGCAAGGGGGUCAUCCCGACUUACCAACCCGAUGCAAACUGCGAAUACCGGAGAAUGUUAUCACGGGAGACACACGGCGGGUGCUAACGUCCGUCGUGAAGAGGGAAACAACCCAGACCGCCAGCUAAGGUCCCAAAGUCAUGGUUAAGUGGGAAACGAUGUGGGAAGGCCCAGACAGCCAGGAUGUUGGCUUAGAAGCAGCCAUCAUUUAAAGAAAGCGUAAUAGCUCACUGGUCGAGUCGGCCUGCGCGGAAGAUGUAACGGGGCUAAACCAUGCA
rnacentral:rRNA from 1 species